AUGGCCUUCGUGGCCACAGAGUCUGAGCGGGCCCAAACCUGUGGUUCCGUGGUGACCUUAUACAGCUCAGGGCACUAUCUGCUUCUGGGGGACCCAGUCCCUCCCUGCAAGUCAAAUUCAAGUCGGGAUUCUAUACCACCCACCAAAGCUAGGAGGCACCUAAGUUCCCCAAGGGGAUGCAGCCAGUCAAGGCAGGAUAUCAGAGACACCCGCCAGGGGACAGCUGGAGGCUACCCAGAACCGGCGCUCAGUACCAGCAUGGACCCAUUGUGCCCGGCCGGCUUCUUGGUGCUCCUCAGGUGUGCCAGCCCCCGGCUUGGGGCGCCUUCCUUCCCCAUAGCGGGACACCUGGCUUCCGACUUCACCUUCUCGCCCCCGCCAGGCGGUGGAGGCGAUGGGCCGGGAGGGCCAGAGCCGGGCUGGCUUGAUCCUCGGACCUAGAUGAGCUUCCAAGGGCCUCCCGGUGGGUCAGGGAUCGGGCCGGGGUUGGGCCCGGCGCCGAGGUGUGGGGGCUUCCCCCGUGCCCCCCGCCCUAUGACUUCUGCGCAGGGAUGGCCUACUGUGCACCUCAGGUUGGAGUGGGGCUGGUGCCCCAGGCGGCCUGGAGACCCCUCAGCCCGAGGGCGAGGCGGGAGCCGGGGUGGAGAGCAACUCCGAGGGGGCCUCCGCGGAGCCCUGCGCCGUCCCCGCUGGUGCCGGGAAGGUGGACGAGGAGAAGCUGGAGCCGAACCCCGAGGAGUCCCAGGACAUCAAAGCUCUUCAGAAAGACCUCGCACAAUUUGCCAAGCUCCUAAAGCAGAAGAGGAUCACCCUGGGAUACACCCGAUGUGGGGCUCACCCUGGGGGUUCUCUUCGGGAAGGUGUUCAGCCAAACAGCCAUCUGCCGUUUUGAGGCUUUGCAGCCCAGUUUGAAGAACAUGUGUAAGCUGCUGCCCCCGCUGCAGAAGUGGGUGCAGGAAGCUGACAACCACGAGAAUCUGCAGGAGAUAUGCAAGGCAGCGACCUUCGUGCAGGCCCGGAAGAGAAAGCGGAAGAGAAAGCGAACGAGUACUGAGAACCGAGUGAGAGGCAACCUGGAGAGCGUGUUCCUGCAGUGCCCGAAGCCCACCCUGCAGCAGAUCAGCCACAUCGCUCAGCAGCUCGGGCUUGAGGAGGAUGUGGUCCGAGUGUGGUUCUGCAACCGUCGCCAGAAGGGCAAACGAUCAAGCAGUCACUAUUCUCAACGAGAGGACUUUGAGGCUGCUGGGUCUCCUUUCUCAGGGGGACCAGUAUCCUUUCCUCUGGCACCAGGGCCCCAUUUUUGUACCCCAGGCUAUGGGGGUCCUCACUUCACUACGCUGUACUCCUCGGUCCCAUUUCCUGAGGGUGAGGCCUUUCCCUCGGUUUCUGUCACCACUCUGGGGCUCUCCCAUGCAUUCAAACUGAGGUGCCUGCCCUUCCCAGGAAUGGGGGCGCAGAGGAAGGGGGAGAGUUAG